rnacentral:rRNA from 1 species
AGCAGCCGCGGUAAUUCCAGCUCCAAUAGCGUAUAUUAAAGUUGUUGCAGUUAAAAAGCUCGUAGUUGAAUUUCGGGGUUAGUAGGUUGGUCAUGCCUCUGGUAUGUACUGGUCUCACUGAUUCCUCCUUCCUUAG